UACUCUCAACAAUAAAUAUCUUGGCUCUCACAAUAAUGAAAAACACAGUGAAAUGCAAUAUAUGAUAUAAAUUGCAGAAUUCAGUGAAUCAUCAAAGUUUUGAAUGCAACUUGUGCUUGAGGUUAUCCCGAGGGCAUGCUUACUUGAGCGUCU
rnacentral:rRNA from 1 species